UUCCUAGCUGGCUCUCCCCUUGAACACUGAGCAGAAAGCCUGAGCUGAGGGAGGCAGGGAAGGCAGGCUAGAGGAGACGCAGGGAACGCAGAGCUGGGCCCGCUGUAGGUGCUCCAAGACUGGGAUGGGGAUGAGAGGGUGGGCUGGACCUCAGGUAAAUACAGAUGGAGGCAAAGGUUGAGAAGUGAGAAUGAGGGUGGCUAGGCCAAAUUGUGUGAGUGGAUAGACGGGGAAAUAUGCAUGAAUAAUUAUUGUGAGUCGCUAAGUUCAGGCUGGCAGGUAGACAGGAGUAUUAAAUCUUUUCCUUAGAAGAAGUCCUGUAUUAGUGUUUACAUAAUUUGUCCAAAAGGACCAAUAGAGCGAAGCUCCAUAUUCCAGCCUCCCAGCAGCGGAUUCUGAUUUAGUUUUCCUGCAAUGGAUGUAACCCUGAUGUGGCAGCAGCCAAUCAGAGAACAAGACGAGAGGCCUUGUCAUAAGAACCUUGAUGACAUCACUCCAAGGGCGAGCCGAGAGCAGACGUUGAAGCUCCACACUGACGACGGGCUCCACGAUGAUACAAGCCCGGAUUCAGCGCGCCGGUGGUCGGAUCGAAACCCUUCGGACUUGUCGGGGUAAAACACGCGGAGGGUGCCGCUCACUUGGACAUGUGACGACGGGCGACCGGAGCUCUGCAGCGGACAUGUAGAGCCUUCGUGGCCGGUGUACUGCUGGAGAAGGUUUGACGGUGGUUGAAGGAAAAGGCAACUUUUUUUUCCCCUGCCAAUCACGACGAGAGGAAGACGCAACACUCCCAAAGUGCCAUGACUGUGGAUGCUCGCCCCUUCACAACCCCAUCAAGUUUGUUGGGAAGAUAAAUCCACCAAAAUACCCAAGACCUGCAGCACCCGACCAGGUCUGACCACUUCCGGGGCUCGCGUGCAGCGUGUGGCGGUGACGCUGGAGGAUAUUUGGACUGCAACAGGUGUGAGAUGACAGAAGACGUAAUAAAGAGGACAAGACAAUGAAUGAGCUGGAUGGCAAAGAGGAACUGCAGGAUUUAGGGAGCUGUUACUGAAGGUGUUACAUCAGACCAAUGGGCCACCGGGCGAAGAUGCUGACAUCACACAGACACACAUUCACAUCAUCACAAGUGGACACAUCUUAUGGGUGUCUAAGCCAACUCCUGGCGGAAGCGAAUUAAAGUCAAUGAAACUGAACUGAUCUUAGCUGAAGCAGGAUUGUGAAAGUCGCUGCUUGAUGUGUGGAGGAAAAAGAUGACACUAAAAAUAUUGAUGCAACAAUUUGGAAUGAAUUUGAUUGGUUGUUUGGAGCAGGAGGUUGCAGUGGAGAUGCUUUAUUUGAAUACCAUAUGUCAGGGGUCGGCAACCUUUUGUGCCAAAGACAGCCAUGAAAGUAAAUUUUUCCGAAUGUAUUUCCAUAAGAACCAUAUAAUGCUUAUUGUACUGAAGCUAAUCAAUAAAUAAAAUAUUUCUUAUCAUGAGUGUGACUUCCGAUGCUGCAUGGUUUUGCUGAUGCUGUUGUAGUCUGGUUGAUUACGUGGUUAAGUUAAGCUUAAUGCAG